CAGUAGCCGCGGUAAUACAGAGGCCUCAAGCGUUGUUCGGAUUCAUUGGGCGUAAAGGGUGCGUAGGCGGUCGGGUAAGUCGGAUGUGAAAUCCUGGGGCUCAACCUCAGAACUGCAUUCGAUACUGCGGGGCUAGAGGACUGGAGAGGAGAGUGGAACUGCGAGUGUAGAGGUGAAAUUCGUAGAUAUUCGCAAGAACACCAGUGGCGAGGGCGGCUCACUGGCCCGGAACUGACGCUGAGACGCGAAAGCGUGGGGAGCAAACAGGAUUAGAUACCCCUGUAGUCCCUGUCUCUUAUAC
rnacentral:rRNA from 1 species